rnacentral:rRNA from 1 species
CCUACGGGGGGCAGCAGUGGGGAAUAUUGGACAAUGGGGGCAACCCUGAUCCAGCCAUGCCGCGUGUGUGAAGAAGGCCCUCGGGUUGUAAAGCACUUUCAGUGAGGAAGAACGCCUGGUGGUUAAUACCCAUCAGGAAAGACAUCACUCACAGAAGAAGCACCGGCUAACUCCGUGCCAGCAGCCGCGGUAAUACGGAGGGUGCGAGCGUUAAUCGGAAUUACUGGGCGUAAAGCGCGCGUAGGUGGCUUGAUAAGCCGGUUGUGAAAGCCCCGGGCUCAACCGGGGAACGGCAUCCGGAACUGUCAAGCUAGAGUGCAGGAGAGGAAGGUAGAAUUCCCGGUGUAGCGGUGAAAUGCGUAGAGAUCGGGAGGAAUACCAGUGGCGAAGGCGGCCUUCUGGACUGACACUGACACUGAGGUGCGAAAGCGUGGGUAGCAAACAGGAUUAGAUACACCGGUAGUC